UAUCCGUUAAAUUAAUUAUAAGUCAAUAUUUUAUUAAAUCCUUAUUUUCUACUAAUUGUCAUCAUAAUAUAUAUACAAGUUAAUCACUUAGAAGUUGUAGAAGUUAAUUACCAAAAAGCCCAAAAGGAAUUAAUUAGAAGAAGAAAAUACCCAACAAUUUCAGCUAUUUGAAGCCCAUUCUUAUGAGCCCAAUUCGUGACCAGUCCAUAUUUUUUAACAGACCAGCCCACAUCCUUUAAUGACUUAACCCGGCCCACUAUAAUCCCUAAAUCCCUCAUCACAAAAAAAAAAAAAAAAAAAAAACACACGCGGCCGCACACUCUCAUCUCUCUCAUCCCUUUCCUCUUCCAAACAAGAAACCAUUUUUCUUAGCCAUGGCAGAUUUUUGCCUUGCCACUUUUAUAUAAGUUUCUCCUCUCUCAUCUUCAACGAUUUGGUCAACGUAAAUGGCCAAAAACACUUCUGAAGUUUUCAGAAAAAGAAAGCAAUUUCAGAGAUUCGAUUUUGAUUUUCAAAUAGCUAAUUCGUGUAGAAAUCCCGCCCAAAUUGAAACCCUAGGUUUUUGAUUUACACCUAUAAAUAUCACUCUAAUUCCUCAGCCGAAUGGAGGUUUUUUUGGGGGGGAAUAGCUUGAACCACCCAGAAAUCCUUAGCGUUUUUUUUUACAAUUUCCCAUUUUUGGACUACCUCUCUAAACCUUAAGAUUGUUUAAACGUUUCAUUUUGUCUUGGUGGACUUUGGCCGUGACAGAGAUUCUCGAGCUCAUUUGUGUCGAGUUCCGAUGUGUUCCUAACGAGAGUAAAUUCGAGGCGUCGACGUCCCGCUCCCUGCACUCACAAGAGGUAUGGAUCUUACAUUGGAGUAUAUCUGUGAUCAACAAUUGACGAGAACCAAGGACAUCGCAAAAUGGAGCUAGAAUUUUAGACAUAAGAAAUUGUAUUUACCUCACUUAGAUUAGGAAAUAUUUUAUAUGUAAUAAAUACUGCAUUACUUUUGUACUUUAUUUUGGGAAAUAGAAUUUGUUUAAUUAGCCAAAAGCAAUGGGAUGACGUAUUGUGGCA